GAGUUUGAUCCUGGCUCAGGACGAACGCUGGCGGCGUGCUUAACACAUGCAAGUCGAACGGUGAACCGGGCUUCGGCCCGGGGAUCAGUGGCGAACGGGUGCGUAACACGUGGGCAACCUGCCCCAGACUCUGGGAUAACUCCGGGAAACCGGGGCUAAUACCGGAUACUCCGAUCGAACCGCAUGACUCGAUUGGGAAAGCUCCGACGGUCUGGGAUGGGCCCGCGGCCUAUCAGCUUGUUGGUGGGGUAACGGCCUACCAAGGCGACGACGGGUAGCUGGUCUGAGAGGACGACCAGCCACACUGGAACUGAGAUACGGUCCAGACUCCUACGGGAGGCAGCAGUGGGGAAUCUUGCACAAUGGGCGAAAGCCUGAUGCACCGACGCCUCGUGGGGGACGAAUGCCUUCGGGUUGUAAACCCCUUUCGGCAGGAAAGAAACGAAGGUGACGGUACCUGCAGAAGAAGCUCCGGCUAACUACGUGCCAGCAGCCGCGGUAAGACGUACGCCAGCGAGCAUUGUCCGGAUUCAUUGGACGUAAAUCGCGCGUACUCUAUUUGACAAGUCGGAUGUGAAAUCCCGAUGCUCAGCCUCGAGACUGCAUCCCAGACUGCCCGACUAGAGGUAGGUAGGGGAGAUCGGAAUUCCUGGUGUAGCGGUGAAAUGCGCAGAUAUCAGGAGGAACACCGGUGGCGAAGGCGGAUCUCUGGGCCUUACCUGACGCUGAGGCGCGAAAGCUAGGGGAGCGAACAGGAUUAGAUACCCUGGUAGUCCUAGCCGUAAACGUUGGGUGCUAGGUGUGGGCGGAUAUCGACCCCGUCCGUGCCGAAGCUAACGCAUUAAGCACCCCGCCUGGGGAGUACGGCCGCAAGGCUAAAACUCAAAGGAAUUGACGGGGGCCCGCACAAGCGGCGGAGCAUGCUGAUUAAUUCGAUGCAACGCGAAGAACCUUACCAAGGCUUGACAUAUACCGGAAACAUCUGGAAACAGGUGCCCCGCAAGGUCGGUAUACAGGUGGUGCAUGGUUGUCGUCAGCUCGUGUCGUGAGAUGUUGGGUUAAGUCCCGCAACGAGCGCAACCCACGUUCUAUGUUGCCAGCGCGUUAUGGCGGGGACUCAUAGGAGACUGCCGGGGUCAACUCGGAGGAAGGUGGGGAUGACGUCAAAUCAUCAUGCCCCUUAUGUCUUGGGCUUCAAGCAUGCUACAAUGGCCAGUACAAAGGGCUGCGAGACCGCAAGGUGGAGCGAAUCCCAAAAAACUGGUCUCAGUUCGGAUUGGGGUCUGCAACUCGACCCCAUGAAGUCGGAGUCGCUAGUAAUCGCAGAUCAGCAACGCUGCGGUGAAUACGUUCCCGGGCCUUGUACACACCGCCCGUCAAGUCACGAAAGUCGGUAACACCCGAAGCCGGUGGCCUAACCGCAAGGAAGGAGCCGUCGAAGGUGGGACUGGCGAUUGGGACUAAGUCGUAACAAGGUAGCCGUACCGGAAGGUGCGGCUGGAUCACCUCCUUUCU
rnacentral:rRNA from 1 species